rnacentral:rRNA from 1 species
AGAGUUUGAUCCUGGCUCAGGAUGAACGCUGGCGGCGUGCCUAAUACAUGCAAGUCGAGCGAACGGACGAGAAGCUUGCUUCUCUGAUGUUAGCGGCGGACGGGUGAGUAACACGUGGAUAACCUACCUAUAAGACUGGGAUAACUUCGGGAAACCGGAGCUAAUACCGGAUAAUAUUUUGAACCGCAUGGUUCAAAAGUGAAAGACGGUCUUGCUGUCACUUAUAGAUGGAUCCGCGCUGCAUUAGCUAGUUGGUAAGGUAACGGCUUACCAAGGCAACGAUGCAUAGCCGACCUGAGAGGGUGAUCGGCCACACUGGAACUGAGACACGGUCCAGACUCCUACGGGAGGCAGCAGUAGGGAAUCUUCCGCAAUGGGCGAAAGCCUGACGGAGCAACGCCGCGUGAGUGAUGAAGGUCUUCGGAUCGUAAAACUCUGUUAUUAGGGAAGAACAUAUGUGUAAGUAACUGUGCACAUCUUGACGGUACCUAAUCAGAAAGCCACGGCUAACUACGUGCCAGCAGCCGCGGUAAUACGUAGGUGGCAAGCGUUAUCCGGAAUUAUUGGGCGUAAAGCGCGCGUAGGCGGUUUUUUAAGUCUGAUGUGAAAGCCCACGGCUCAACCGUGGAGGGUCAUUGGAAACUGGAAAACUUGAGUGCAGAAGAGGAAAGUGGAAUUCCAUGUGUAGCGGUGAAAUGCGCAGAGAUAUGGAGGAACACCAGUGGCGAAGGCGACUUUCUGGUCUGUAACUGACGCUGAUGUGCGAAAGCGUGGGGAUCAAACAAGAUUAGAUACCCUGGUAGUCCACGCCGUAAACGAUGAGUGCUAAGUGUUAGGGGGUUUCCGCCCCUUAGUGCUGCAGCUAACGCAUUAAGCACUCCGCCUGGGGAGUACGACCGCAAGGUUGAAACUCAAAGGAAUUGACGGGGACCCGCACAAGCGGUGGAGCAUGUGGUUUAAUUCGAAGCAACGCGAAGAACCUUACCAAAUCUUGACAUCCUUUGACAACUCUAGAGAUAGAGCCUUCCCCUUCGGGGGACAAAGUGACAGGUGGUGCAUGGUUGUCGUCAGCUCGUGUCGUGAGAUGUUGGGUUAAGUCCCGCAACGAGCGCAACCCUUAAGCUUAGUUGCCAUCAUUAAGUUGGGCACUCUAAGUUGACUGCCGGUGACAAACCGGAGGAAGGUGGGGAUGACGUCAAAUCAUCAUGCCCCUUAUGAUUUGGGCUACACACGUGCUACAAUGGACAAUACAAAGGGCAGCGAAACCGCGAGGUCAAGCAAAUCCCAUAAAGUUGUUCUCAGUUCGGAUUGUAGUCUGCAACUCGACUACAUGAAGCUGGAAUCGCUAGUAAUCGUAGAUCAGCAUGCUACGGUGAAUACGUUCCCGGGUCUUGUACACACCGCCCGUCACACCACGAGAGUUUGUAACACCCGAAGCCGGUGGAGUAACCUUUUAGGAGCUAGCCGUCGAAGGUGGGACAAAUGAUUGGGGUGAAGUCGUAACAAGGUAGCCGUAUCGGAAGGUGCGGCUGGAUCACCU